rnacentral:misc_RNA from 1 species
UUAAGUUCAGCGCGUAUUCCUACCUGAUCCGAGGUCAACCAUUAGAAGUUUCCCGGUGAGGGGAGAGGACCGGGCCCGGGCGCCCUUGUCCGAUACGUGCUCGUGAAAGCUCAGUGUACCGGGGGAACCACAGGCCGCCGUCAUUGUCUUUAGGAGGGGUCGUGGGUACCUCGACCAGGCUGUCCAACACCAAGCACGGG